rnacentral:rRNA from 1 species
UUGUGGUUAAAAAGCUCGUAGUUGGAUCUCGGCGGACUGAGGGCGGUUUGCUUGCUAGUAUUACUGCCCUAUAGUCCGUAGUUUUGCCAGAGGUUUCGGGGUGCUCUUAAUCGAGUGUCCCGGGAUGCUGGCAGGUUUACUUUGAAAAAAUUAGAGUGCUCAAAGCAGGCUAUUACGCCUGAAUAUUCGUGCAUGGAAUAAUAGAAUAGGAAGUCGUUUCUAUUUUGUUGGUUUUCGGAAAUCGACUUAAUGAUUAAUAGGGACAGUCGGGGGCAUUUGUAUUCAAACGACAGAGGUGAAAUUCUUGGACCGUUUGAAGACAAACUACUGCGAAAGCAUUUGCCAAGAAUGUUUUCAUUAAUCAAGAACGAAAGUUAAAGGUUCGAAGGCGAUUAGAUACCGCCCUAGUUUUAACCAUAAACGAUGCCAGCUAGCGAUCUGCGGACGUUUUUUUUGUAGACUCCGCAGGAAGCUUCCGGGAAACCAAAGCAUUUGGGUUCCAGGGGAAGUAUGGUUGCAAAGCUGAAACUUAAAGGAAUUGACGGAAGGGCACCACCAGGAGUGGAGCCUGUGGCUUAAUUUGACUCAACACGGGAAAUCUCACCAGGCCCGGACACUGGAAGGAUUGACAGAUUGAUAGCUCUU